rnacentral:tRNA from 1 species
CGGCGGCUUCGCGCAGGGCGCCUUCCGCUUCCGGCGCGGCACCGUCAAUCCGCUGCCGUUCGAUGCGGUCGAUGCCAA